CCGUGUCCGAGUCAGCUGAGGGCCGGGACCCUGCGCGCGAAGCCCGGCGCCGAAGCCCAUCCCGUAGCGCCGGAGCUGCGCGCUGUGUGGGGCCUCGCGAGGCUGUGGCACGGCCCGCGUCCCUUACUGCUGCCUGGCCCGGCUCGGGUCUGCCCGGGCCCUGCGGGCUGCCGUGAGGUCACUGGGUGGUGGUGUCCGCAGGGCGACUGCAGAGGGAUGCGUAUGUGUCUGUAAGAGAUAAUCUCAUAAGGGAGUUAUCUUGGGGCCACAAAGAUGCAGCUCGCCUCGUGUGCUCUUCUAAACUGAGUUGUGCUGGGGCCGGUGUCACGGUAUGGUGGUGUCUUUGUAAUAGGUGAGAGACAACUGAACCGCCGUGAAAUUGUGAACUGCAGGAAUCUGUCACCUCAGAGAAUGCUCAAAAGCAGAUGUGUGGAAUUUCCUGGGAAGAGCAGAUAGCGCAUGAGAGAUCUUGGCUGAAUGCUGUGUGCUUUGACUCAUUGAAGCCCCAACAGCAAAUAAAUGAGGGGGCAGCGACGUGGGCAGCCCUGCGCCCUGACCUGAGCACUUUGCAUCUGCCUCAGGGUGUGGGCACCGGCCCUGCCCAGCAUUCUGGGUCAUCCUGGGCUCAGAGUGCCAUACCUCCGAGAGAGGUGAUGAACCUUCAUCUUUGAGUGGGAAAAUGGAUCCACGCUGCAGAAAUGAACACCAGAGCAGUCUGAGGAAAAGACCAGCUGAGAGUCCAGCGAGGCGCGAUUCCUUGUGCCUAAGUAACAUUAAAGAUGGCGUCGUAUUGCUUUUCCUCAAUGUCUUUUAUCUCUGCGGAUCGUUGCAUGUGAACUAUUGCACAGCGUCAGCCACCUGUUGGAUGUGGCCUCCUCUCCUCGGAACCAGCGCGUCUCCAGCUGACGGGUGUGCAAGCUGCUUCAUCAGACUGGGCUUGCAUGGCUAUUAUGGGGUGAAGUAAGCUCUGCUGAGAUGUAAUGAUGUAUUGUCAUUAAACUUAGUGACUUUAUUAAUUGCAACAAACUGUACUUCAGGUGAUCUGCUUUGAAAUGUAACCCAAGCUGGGCUGCCCUGUCCUGCACUGAGCUCCUGCCUGGAGCAGCUCGGACCUGCGGGCACCCGGGCUGUGCUGUGCUCCUGGCCAGGAGAGAGUUGGCACCGUCCUCGCAUUAAACUCCUUCAAAAAUAUCAGAAUACUUUCAGUUGUAGAUGCAGAUGUAACCUGAGACCUGAUGUUAGCUCCCGAGGUCAGAGACUUCAUGUUACCAGGAUUUCAAGGUUAGCUUCUCUCCUGCUGUGGAAUUGUUUGAGGAGAGCAGCUCUUCUGAGAGGAGGACAUUGGCCAUAGCUAAGGUUUCCCUGUUGGCUGGGAGGGUAACUCUGAGGGCGUGAAAGGAUUUGAGUGGGAGAGAUUUUUCCUGUUUCCUUUUUCUGUUCUUAAAACAGAGGAAGAGAGACCAGCCAGGGAUUUAAUGUGAGAUCCCUGGCUCUGCUCUCAGCCAGCCGUUGCUUUUCUCCUCAGCAGAUUGGUGCCGAGGCAUGAGGCACUGCAGGCAGCCUCAGUCUUCCCGGGGCUCCCUGCUGGGGGUCUCCUCCUGGGUGUCAGGCCCUGGCCGGUGGUUCCAUGAGCUCUGCACUCCUGGCUCUGUUCUGGCUUUGGGAAUGUGAUCGUUGUGUGGUGCCCCUCCAGAGGGGCCAUGUGUGCACGGGUUGCCCCAGCACUCACUGCUUGCACAGGGCUCAGGCUCUGUAAUCCCCGCAUCGGUUGCUGGGAUUUACAGAAACAGCAGAGAGGAGUGGCUGGAGGAGGCCAUCAGUGUGUUUUUGUGGCCGGUUUGAUACGGCGGAGCAGUGUGAGAAGACAGAAAAUGCGUCUGGGAAAACUUGGCCGCAGCUGCCCAGGCCCUUUGUGCCGCCUGCUCAGUAUGGGCGGCCGGGCCCAGCCGAGACGCCCCGCAGCC
ensembl:lncRNA